rnacentral:tRNA from 5 species
GCAGUGGUAACUCAGCGGUAGAGUGUGAGAUGUUAGAUCUCAAGGACCCGCGUUCGAUCCGCGGUCACUGCU